rnacentral:rRNA from 1 species
UACGAAGGGGGCUAGCGUUGUUCGGAAUUACUGGGCGUAAAGGGCUCGUAGGUGGCCAACUAAGUCAGACGUGAAAUCCCUCGGCUUAACCGGGGAACUGCGUCUGAUACUGGAUGGCUUGAGUUUGGGAGAGGGAUGCGGAAUUCCAGGUGUAGCGGUGAAAUGCGUAGAUAUCUGGAGGAACACCGGUGGCGAAGGCGGCAUCCUGGACCGACACUGACACUGAGGAGCGAAAGCCAGGGGAGCAAACGGG